rnacentral:tRNA from 1 species
GUGGGAGUCGCCAAGUGGUUCAAGGCGCAAGUCUGCAAAACUUGUAUAUGUCGUGGGUUCGAAUCCCACCUCCCACUCGA